AUUGAACGCUGGCGGCAGGCCUAACACAUGCAAGUCGAGCGGGGUUUUCGGACCUAGCGGCGGACGGGUGAGUAAUGCGUAGGAAGCUACCCGAUAGAGGGGGAUACCAGUUGGAAACGACUGUUAAUACCGCAUAAUGUCUACGGACCAAAGUGUGGGACCUUCGGGCCACAUGCUAUCGGAUGCGCCUACGUGGGAUUAGCUAGGUGGUGGGGUAAUGGCUCACCAAGGCGACGAUCCCUAGCUGGUUUGAGAGGAUGAUCAGCCACACUGGAACUGAGACACGGUCCAGACUCCUACGGGAGGCAGCAGUGGGGAAUAUUGGACAAUGGGCGCAAGCCUGAUCCAGCCAUGCCGCGUGUGUGAAGAAGGCCUUCGGGUUGUAAGGCACUUUCAGUAGGGAGGAAGGGUGUUGUGUUAAUAGCACAGCAUUUUGACGUUACCUACAGAAGAAGCACCGGCUAACUCUGUGCCAGCCGCCGCCGUAAGAC
rnacentral:rRNA from 1 species